AGAGUUUGAUCCUGGCUCAGGAUGAACGCUAGCGACAGGCUUAACACAUGCAAGUCGAGGGGCAGCACAGGUAGCAAUACCGGGUGGCGACCGGCGCACGGGUGAGUAACGCGUAUGCAACUUACCUAUCAGAGGGGGAUAACCCGGCGAAAGUCGGACUAAUACCGCAUGAAGCAGGGGUCCCGCAUGGGGAUAUUUGCUAAAGAUUCAUCGCUGAUAGAUAGGCAUGCGUUCCAUUAGGCAGUUGGCGGGGUAACGGCCCACCAAACCGACGAUGGAUAGGGGUUCUGAGAGGAAGGUCCCCCACAUUGGUACUGAGACACGGACCAAACUCCUACGGGAGGCAGCAGUGAGGAAUAUUGGUCAAUGGGCGUAAGCCUGAACCAGCCAAGUCGCGUGAGGGAUGAAGGUUCUAUGGAUCGUAAACCUCUUUUAUAAGGGAAUAAAGUGCGGGACGUGUCCCGUUUUGUAUGUACCUUAUGAAUAAGGAUCGGCUAACUCCGUGCCAGCAGCCGCGGUAAUACGGAGGAUCCGAGCGUUAUCCGGAUUUAUUGGGUUUAAAGGGAGCGUAGGCGGACGCUUAAGUCAGUUGUGAAAGUUUGCGGCUCAACCGUAAAAUUGCAGUUGAUACUGGGUGUCUUGAGUACAGUAGAGGCAGGCGGAAUUCGUGGUGUAGCGGUGAAAUGCUUAGAUAUCACGAAGAACUCCGAUUGCGAAGGCAGCUUGCUGGACUGUAACUGACGCUGAUGCUCGAAAGUGUGGGUAUCAAACAGGAUUAGAUACCCUGGUAGUCCACACAGUAAACGAUGAAUACUCGCUGUUUGCGAUAUACAGUAAGCGGCCAAGCGAAAGCGUUAAGUAUUCCACCUGGGGAGUACGCCGGCAACGGUGAAACUCAAAGGAAUUGACGGGGGCCCGCACAAGCGGAGGAACAUGUGGUUUAA
rnacentral:rRNA from 1 species